rnacentral:rRNA from 1 species
UACAUGGGGUGCAAACGUUGCUCGGAAUUAUUGGGCGUAAAGCGCACGUAGGUGGUUUGUUAUGUCGGAUGUGAAAGCCCUCGGCUCAACUGAGGAAGUGCAUCCGAAACUGGCAAGCUAGAGUAUGUAAGAGGGUCGCGGAAUUCCCGGUGUAGAGGUGAAAUUCGUAGAUAUCGGGAGGAACACCGGUGGCGAAGGCGGCGACCUGGGACAAUACUGACACUGAGGCGCGAAGGCCAGGGGAGCAAACGGG